AGCGAACGCUGGCGGCAGGCCUAACACAUGCAAGUCGAACGGAUCCUUCGGGAUUAGUGGCGGACGGGUGAGUAACACGUGGGAACGUGCCCUUUGGUUCGGAACAACUCAGGGAAACUUGAGCUAAUACCGGAUGUGCCCUCCGGGGGAAAGAUUUAUCGCCAUUGGAGCGGCCCGCGUCUGAUUAGCUAGUUGGUGAGGUAAAGGCUCACCAAGGCGACGAUCAGUAGCUGGUCUGAGAGGAUGAUCAGCCACAUUGGGACUGAGACACGGCCCAAACUCCUACGGGAGGCAGCAGUGGGGAAUCUUGCGCAAUGGGCGAAAGCCUGACGCAGCCAUGCCGCGUGAAUGAUGAAGGUCUUAGGAUUGUAAAAUUCUUUCACCGGGGACGAUAAUGACGGUACCCGGAGAAGAAGCCCCGGCUAACUUCGUGCCAGCAGCCGCCGCGGUAA
rnacentral:rRNA from 1 species